rnacentral:rRNA from 1 species
AUUGAACGCUAGCGGCAUGCUUUACACAUGCAAGUCGAACGGUAACAGGUUAAGCUGACGAGUGGCGAACGGGUGAGUAAUGCAUCGGAACGUGCCCGGUCGUGGGGGAUAACGCAGCGAAAGCUGCGCUAAUACCGCAUACGAUCUGAGGAUGAAAGCGGGGGACCGUAAGGCCUCGCGCGAUCGGAGCGGCGGGUGUCAGAUUAGGUAGUUGGGGGGGUAAAGGCUCACCAAGCCAACGAUCUGUAGCUGGUCUGAGAGGACCACCAGCCACACUGGGACUGAGACACGGCCCAGACUCCUACGGGAGGCAGCAGUGGGGAAUUUUGGACAAUGGGCGAAAGCCUGAUCCAGCAAUGCCGCGUGCAGGAAGAAGGCCUUCGGGUUGUAAACUGCUUUUGUACGGAGCGAAAAGGUCUCCUCUAAUACAGGGGGCUCAUGACGGUACCGUAAGAAUAAGCACCGGCUAACUACGUGCCAGCCGCCGCGGUAA